rnacentral:rRNA from 1 species
CCUACGGGAGGCAGCAGUAGGGAAUAUUGGACAAUGGACGCAAGUCUGAUCCAGCCAUCCCGCGUGAAGGAUUAAGGCCCUAUGGGUUGUAAACUUCUUUUCUUUGGGAAUAAAAAGCGGUAUUCAUAUCGCCUUGAAGGUACCAGAGGAAUAAGCACCGGCUAACUCCGUGCCAGCAGCCGCGGUAAUACGGAGGGUGCAAGCGUUAUCCGGAUUCACUGGGUUUAAAGGGUGCGUAGGUGGCUUUGUAAGUCAGCGGUGAAAGCCUGGAGCUCAACUCCAGAAUUGCCAUUGAUACUGCAGAGCUUGAAUCAAGUUGAGGUGGAUGGAAUAUUACAUGUAGCGGUGAAAUGCUUAGAUAUGUAAUAGAACACCGAUUGCGAAGGCAGUUCACUAAGCUUGUAUUGACACUGAGGCACGAAAGCGUGGGGAUCAAACAGGAUUAGAUACCCUGGUAGUCCACGCCCUAAACGANNCAACACACAUANGAUAUACUAGUAGUGUCACGACGAAGACGUUAGUUAGUCACCNGGAGUACGACCGCGAGUAGAACGACAAUAGAGUAGAGNGNGAGAGAGCGAGGACGACGACGAGGGAGGAGG